rnacentral:rRNA from 1 species
UAGUCAUACGCUUGUCUCAAAGAUUAAGCCAUGCAUGUCUAAGUAUAAACCGCUUGAACGGUGAAACUGCGAAUGGCUCAUUAAAUCAGUUAUAGUUUAUUUGAUAGUCCCUUUUUACUACUCGGAUAACCGUAGUAAAUCUAGAGCUAAUACGUGCGGAAAGGGCCGACUGGGGAGGGGCGACUCUCUUCGGAUAGGUCCGUAUUUAUUAGAUACAAAACCGAUACGGGGCAUCCCAAACCGGCGGAGAGAAAGGGAGGGGUUUCGCGCCUCUUCUU